GCAAGCUUGAAGUUGCUGAUGAUGGGGCUUUACUUGCGCUUGAGCACAGAGGUUGUAAGAAUACCCUACUGAGUGACUUCCUUUAGAGCUGCUCCAGGCACGUCCCACUAGGCAGAUACCCUGCAGCCGACGCAGAACACACUGGAGGGAUUAUAUAUCUCGGCUGUCUUGGGAACGCUUGGGAAUUCCCCAAGAAAACCUUGAAUCUGUAGCUGGGGACAGGGAAGUCUGGGGUGACCUGAUUAACCUUGUACCACUGACCAGGAAAAGCAGGUAAGAUGGAACCUUCACUACACAGAAAGCAGCUUCCGCCAAUCCAGUUUUACGUAGCAACUGCUGUUUCCAGUUUCUUGAUUGCUACAGAUGAGGGUUCUAUGGGCCAUGCAGUUUUGAGUUUUAUUUCUUUCUCUGAUGCAUUUUUAGGAUUGUGAUCACCAGUAUUAUAAUUCUAAUUAGCAAAAUAAGCAACAUAGAACAUAUUACCAAGUGUAUAUACAAAAUACCUAAUUAUUGGCAACAACCCUCCAUGCCACCUUACUUUCAGAAACAUUUAAUAUAAUACACAAUAUAUCAAGCAAGAAACAUUCUCAUAAAAGGUUGUGCAAUAUAUAUACCCAAAUGUACAAAAUAUUACUAUAGUUUUCACCCCAACUGCUAGUGCAUGUUUCAUUUUUUUAUGGUACUUAUGCCAUCAUUAGAUCCCAAAUAACUUCUUUAUCCCAGACAAUCCAUCCUAAUAUAUAUAAUAAAUGAACAAAUGCAAGAUAACAUACAUUCACAAAGCAGCUUAAUAGAAUAAAGGGCAACAUCAGUCACAAUUCAGGAACCAGAAUAUGAUUAGGCACAUGUACAUGUUAGAUAAAUAAACAAUGUUUUGUUUAAGUAUAAAUGUUUUUGAAACUCAUUAUUAAUGAUUUAUAUAAGAUUACCAUAAUAAGUCCCUGUAUGUGUUGAAUGUUGUAUUUUUUAAAAUUAACACUGAAAGAAUGAAAGCACCGGAGUUUGAACACUCUGAAAUAAAAAGCAUUCUAAUUGCAUUUAAACUCAUUUGGCCAUAAUUUGAUUUUUAAUACCUUUCUUAAAUUGCAAAUAUAAUAAAUAUGUAAUAAUUUAAAAUACAGCAACAAAGAGCUUCAGUAAUAUAGAACUAACAUGUUUUAUAUGGAUCUGCUGAUGCCUUGCAAUAGGUAAAUUAAAUUACAUGCUGUUUGUUAUAUGUUAUUGUCUGUAGAAUUGUU